rnacentral:rRNA from 1 species
AAUGAACGUUGGCGGCGUGGAUUAGGCAUGCAAGUCGAGGGCGAACCCCGCAAGGGGGGAGACCGGCGAACGGGGUAGGACAACAUCGGUAACGUACCCUCUGGACGGGGAUAGCGGCGGGAAACUGCCGGUAAUACCCGAUGAUCUGGCGAGCUUGUGAUGCUCGCCAGCAAAGGUGUGAUUCCACCAGGGGAGCGGCUGAUGCGCUAUUAGCUAGUUGGCGGGGUGACGGCCCACCAAGGCGACGAUGGCUAGGGGGUGUGCGAGCAUGGCCCCCACCACUGGCACUGAGACACUGGCCAGACACCUACGGGUGGCUGCAGUCGAGAAUCUUCGGCAAUGGGCGAAAGCCUGACCGAGCGACGCCGCGUGCGGGAUGAAGGUCUUCGGAUUGUAAACCGCUGUCGGAGGGGAUGAAAUGCACGAGGGUUCUCCCUUGUGUUUGACAGAGCCUCGGAGGAAGCACGGGCUAAGUUCGUGCCAGCAGCCGCGGUAAAAC